rnacentral:tRNA from 1 species
UGCCCCUGUAGCUCAACAGGAUAGAGCAGCGGCCUUCUAAGCCGUAGGUUGGGGGUUCGAGUCCCUCCGGGGGCGCUUU